rnacentral:rRNA from 1 species
GACAGCAGCCGCCGCGGUAAUACAGAGGGUGCGAGCGUUAAUCGGAUUUACUGGGCGUAAAGCGUGCGUAGGCGGCUUUUUAAGUCGGAUGUGAAAUCCCUGAGCUUAACUUAGGAAUUGCAUUCGAUACUGGGAAGCUAGAGUAUGGGAGAGGAUGGUAGAAUUCCAGGUGUAGCGGUGAAAUGCGUAGAGAUCUGGAGGAAUACCGAUGGCGAAGGCAGCCAUCUGGCCUAAUACUGACGCUGAGGUACGAAAGCAUGGGGAGCAAACAGGAUUAGAUACCCCUGUAGUCCCUGUCUCUUAUAA